UCGGGUUGUAAAGCACUUUUGUCCGGAAAGAAAACCUCCGCCCUAAUAUGGUGGGGGGAUGACGGUGCCGGAAGAAUAAGCACCGGCUAACUACGUGCCAGCAGCCGCGGUAAUACGUAGGGUGCAAGCGUUAAUCGGAAUUACUGGGCGUAAAGCGUGCGCAGGCGGUUUCGCUAAGACAGAUGUGAAAUCCCCCGGGCUUAAACCGGGGAACUGCAUUUGUGACUGGCGGGCUAGAGUAUGGCAGAGGGGGGGUAGAAUUUCCACGUGUAGCAGUGAAAUGCGUAGAGAUGUGGAGGAAUACCGAUGGCGAAGGCAGCCCCAUGGGCCCAAUACUGACGCUCAUGCACGAAAGCGUGGGGAGCAAACAGGAUUAGAUACCCUGGUAGUCCACGCCCUAAACGAUGUCAACUAGUUGUUGGGGAUUCAUUUCCUUAGUAACGUAGCUAACGCGUGAAGUUGACCGCCUGGGGAGUACGGUCGCAAGAUUAAAACUCAAAGGAAUUGACGGGGACCCGCACAAGCGGUGGAUGAUGUGGAUUAAUUCGAUGCAACGCGAAAAACCUUACCUACCCUUGACAUGUAUGGAACCUGGCUG
rnacentral:rRNA from 1 species